AGACCCGAAACCCGGUGAUCUAGCCAUGGGCAGGUUGAAGGUUGGGUAACACUAACUGGAGGACCGAACCGACUAAUGUUGAAAAAUUAGCGGAUGACCUGUGGCUGGGGGUGAAAGGCCAAUCAAACCGGGAGAUAGCUGGUUCUCCCCGAAAGCUAUUUAGGUAGCGCCUCGUGAAUUCAUCUCCGGGGGUAGAGCACUGUUUCGGCUAGGGGGCCAUCCCGGCUUACCAACCCGAUGCAAACUGCGAAUACCGGAGAAUGUUAUCACGGGAGACACACGGCGGGUGCUAACGUCCGUCGUGAAGAGGGAAACAACCCAGACCGCCAGCUAAGGUCCCAAAGUCAUGGUUAAGUGGGAAACGAUGUGGGAAGGCCCAGACAGCCAGGAUGUUGGCUUAGAAGCAGCCAUCAUUUAAAGAAAGCGUAAUAGCUCACUGGUCGAGUCGGCCUGCGCGGAAGAUGUAACGGGGCUAAACCAUGCACCGAAGCUGCGGCAGCGACACUGAUG
rnacentral:rRNA from 1 species